UUCAACUGUCACGUUUGCUCCGCUUUUCUGGUUGCAAAUAAAAUUUGACUUUUAAUUAAAUGGCAGAACUUACAAUAAUUUUAAUAAGCCGUAUAAAUAAAUUUGAAUAAAUUUCACACAAAGUGAGGCAAAAUUCCCUAAACUCAUCCGGACAUUCCAUCUUGCCGUUGUUGCCAGAUGAACCGCAAAGAAGGCCCGGAAACCUCAGACCAAUUCACUCAUUCCCCAUUUGCCCAACUUGAGCUCAUUAUGGCGGCUUCAGCCCCCUUGGAACCCAAUAUUUGCAUUCAUUUUGUGCGUGUGCUAAUUUGCAUGUGCGAGUGUGUUAAAACAUAAAUUAGUUGACUCUGCCGACACACCCACACAAUCGAAUAAAAUAAAGUGAAAGGGGUUAGAGAAAGUUUCGCCUCACUCCCGACUUUUCGAA